AUUGAACGCUGGCGGCAGGCUUAACACAUGCAAGUCGAGCGGAGAUGAGGUGCUUGCACCUUAUCUUAGCGGCGGACGGGUGAGUAAUGCUUAGGAAUCUGCCUAUUAGUUGGGGACAACAUUCCGAAAGGAAUGCUAAUACCGCAUACGUCCUACGGGAGAAAGCAGGGGAUCUUCGGACCUUGCGCUAACAGAUGAGACUAAGUAGGAUUAGCUAGUUGGUGGGGUAAAGGCCUACCAAGGCGACGAUCUGUAGCGGGGCUGAGAGGAUGAUCCGCCACACUGGGACUGAGACACGGCCCAGACUCCUACGGGAGGCAGCAGUGGGGAAUAUUGGACAAUGGGGGGAACCCUGAUCCAGCCAUGCCGCGUGUGUGAAGAAGGCCUUAUGGUUGUAAAGCACUUUAAGCGAGGAGGAGGCUACUGAGACUAAUACUCUUGGAUAGUGGACGUUACUCGCAGAAUAAGCACCGGCUAACUCUGUGCCAGCAGCCGCAGUAA
rnacentral:rRNA from 1 species